rnacentral:rRNA from 1 species
UGUCGUCAGCUCGUGUUGUGAAAUGUUGGGUUAAGUCCCGCAACGAGCGCAACCCUUAUCCUUUGUUGCCAGCGGUCCGGCCGGGAACUCAAAGGAGACUGCCAGUGAUAAACUGGAGGAAGGUGGGGAUGACGUCAAGUCAUCAUGGCCCUUACGACCAGGGCUACACACGUGCUACAAUGGCGCAUACAAAGAGAAGCGACCUCGCGAGAGCAAGCGGACCUCAUAAAGUGCGUCGUAGUCCGGAUUGGAGUCUGCAACUCGACUCCAUGAAGUCGGAAUCGCUAGUAAUCGUGGAUCAGAAUGCCACGGUGAAUACGUUCCCGGGCCUUG